GAUGAACGCUGGCGGCGUGCCUAAUACAUGCAAGUCGAGCGAACAGACGAGGAGCUUGCUCCCUUGACGUUCGCGGCGGACGCGUGUGUAACACGUGGAUAACCUACCUAUAAGACUGGGAUAACCUCGGGAAACCGGAGCUAAUACCGGAUAAUAUAUUGAACCGCAUGGUUCAAUAGUGAAAGACGGUUUUGCUGUCACUUAUAGAUGGAUCCGCGCCGCAUUAGCUAGUUGGUAAGGUAACGGCUUACCAAGGCGACGAUGCGUAGCCGACCUGAGAGGGUGAUCGGCCACACUGGAACUGAGACACGGUCCAGACUCCUACGGGAGGCAGCAGUAGGGAAUCUUCCGCAAUGGGCGAAAGCCUGACGGAGCAACGCCGCGUGAGUGAUGAAGGUCUUCGGAUCGUAAAACUCUGUUAUUAGGGAAGAACAAAUGGGUAAGUAACUAUGCACGUCUUGACGGUACCUAAUCAGAAAGCCACGGCUAACUACGUG
rnacentral:rRNA from 1 species